GUCCUAGCUUCGGCUGGACAUAUACUAAAAUUGGAACGAUACAGAGAAGAUUAGCAGGGCCCUGCGCAAAAAAAAACUGCUCACCACAACACUGGCAUCGGAUCACU